GAUGCUUCAGCCUGGACACAGCCACUGACAGCCCAAAAGCAGCCCAAGGAGCUGCUGGUGUUUCCUGGUGAUGGUGGCACAGGCUGCGUGCAGAGGGGCUCAGACAGCAAUUGCUGGUUCCAGCCUCCCAGAGCUCCCAGGCAGCUGCCAGGUGUGUCCUGUCCACCCCAAUUGCCUUCCCUUCCCUUCCUGCCUGAGGCCUCGUUCAGCAGCAGCAGCACUAGCACUAAAGCCAAGGCAAUCUUCCCUCACAGCUAUUAAAUGCCAACCGACAGCCUGCAGAGAUGCCUUCAAAUCAAAGGUUCAGGUGGGAUGAAGUUUUGUUUGGACGAAGGUGGGAGUUUUCAGGGAGCCAGCUGGAAGUGCAGAAGGGAUGGAAAGCUUUCCCAGGUGCUGGACUUGCCUCUGUGGAUGUGUGCUGAGCUCUCACUACAGGGGACUGUGAGGCCUGACUGGCUUGAGAAGAACACCAACUUGCAGGCAUCAAAAGCUCAAAACUCGUUUAAUUGAGCUUGAAGAAACUUGAAGAAGGAAUUUGGAUGUAUAAAACCAAGCUGAGAAGAGCAUCAGUGU